rnacentral:rRNA from 1 species
CGUGGCAGCGAGCGUUGUUCGGAGUUACUGGGCGUAAAGAGUGCGUAGGCGGUUUCUAAGUUUGGUGUGAAAUCUCCCGGCUUAACUGGGAGGGUGCGCCGAAGACUGGAAGGCUCAGAGUGUGGGAGAGGUAAGCGGAAUUCCUGGUGUAGCGGUGAAAUGCGUAGAUAUCAGGAGGAACACCUGCGGUGUAGACGGCUUACUGGACCAUAACUGACGCUGAGGCACGAAAGCGUGGGUAGCAAACAGGAUUAGAUACCCUGGUAGUCCACGCCCUAAACGAUGCAUACUUGGUGUGGGUAGUUCAUUCUAUCCGUGCCGGAGCUAACGCGUUAAGUAUGCCGCCUGGGGAGUACGGUCGCAAGGCUG